ACGCUCGACACCUACGGGGGGCAGCAGUGGGGAAUAUUGCACAAUGGGGGAAACCCUGAUGCAGCGACGCCGCGUGAGCGAAGAAGUAUUUCGGUAUGUAAAGCUCUAUCAGCAGGGAAGAAACUGACGGUACCUGACUAAGAAGCACCGGCUAAAUACGUGCCAGCAGCCGGGUAAUCUGAGCGGGCUGGCAAGGC
rnacentral:rRNA from 1 species